UAUGGGCCGGUACGAGGUAAAUGUUCGUGGAGAUGAUGUGUACUCUCCAAGGGGUCACAACAUUCUGCAUAUGCAAUAGCUAAUGGUUAUUUUUCUCUUACUGUUUUUGUUUCAAUGUCUGCUUCACUUUUCAGUUAGAGACAGAAAGAGAAAGUUGUAUUAGACCUUCCCUUGUAUGAUGGUGGGUUUGUCUCAUUCUUUGUUCUUCUGUGAAUUUUGCUUUAUGAAUUUUGAGGUUAUAAGGAGCAUACUACUUUAAAACUGUCAUGCUUUUCUAAUAAAUGAGAAUUUUAACUCAUUAGGUAACAAGCCUUUUAAAACAAUUUUAAUUCAUUAGGUAACAAGCCUUUUAAAACUCUGGUGAUGCCUUUUUUUUUGUUUGUUUGGUUUGCUUUAAAAUCUGUUUGGUAUGACAUUAACUUUUAACUUGACUACACUGUGAAUUUUUUUUUUUUUUUAACAUUUAUUCAUUAUCGAAAGAUAGAGACAGAGCAUGAGCAGGGGAGGGGCAGAGAGAGAGGGAGACACAGAAUCCAAAGCAGGCUCCAGGCUCCGAGUUGUCAGCGCAGAGCCCGACGCGGGGCUUUGAACUCACAAACCGUGAGAUCAUGUCCUGAGCCGAAGUCGGAUGCCCCACCGACAGCCACCCAGGCACCCCUACACUGUGAAUUUCUAUUUUUCAUCUUUGAAGUCCAGGGUUAACUACACUGUGUUAAUUUGUCCUGGGGCAAACCAAUGCCUUUACAUUGUUUUACUUCUGGAAAGUUAACAAACUGAUUGAAACCUUU